rnacentral:RNase_P_RNA from 1 species
AAUGCAAGCCAGUCUAUCGCUUGACAUUUCGGUGUUAAGAGGAAAGUCCGGGCUCCAUAGGGCAAUGCAGCGGGUAACACCCGUCGACUCGGUGGCAACAUUGAGUAGGACAAGUGCAACAGAAAGUAUGUACGGCUUGAGUUUUCGGAUUCAAGUGCUGUAGUGAAACCAGGUAAACUCUGUGUGGAGCAAGACCAAAUAAAGGGAGAGAGGCUGCCCGUCUCAUUAAUCCCAGGGUAGGUCGUUAGAUCUUAUCAGCAAUGAUAAGGCUAGACAAAUGAUAGAACCUCACACCUCGGUGUGAGAACAGAACCCGGCUUAUAGGUUUGUUUAUAUA